rnacentral:rRNA from 1 species
UACGUAGGGGGCGAGCGUUGUCCGGAUUUACUGGGCGUAAAGAGCGCGUAGGCGGUCUGCCAAGUCUUGCGUUAAAUACCCCGGCUCAACCGGGGGGUGUCGUGGGAUACUGGUGGACUCGAGGCCGGAAGGGGGAAGUGGAAUUCCCGGUGUAGUGGUGGAAUGCGUAGAUAUCGGGAGGAACACCAGUGGCGAAGGCGGCUUCCUGGUCCGGUCCUGACGCUGAGGCGCGAAAGCGUGGGGAGCGAAC